rnacentral:rRNA from 1 species
AGCGAACGCUGGCGGCAGGCCUAACACAUGCAAGUCGAACGAACCCUUCGGGGUUAGUGGCGGACGGGUGAGUAACACGUGGGAACGUGCCCUUAGGUUCGGAAUAACUCAGGGAAACUUGUGCUAAUACCGAAUGUGCCCUUCGGGGGAAAGAUUUAUCGCCUUUAGAGCGGCCCGCGUCUGAUUAGCUAGUUGGUGAGGUAAUGGCUCACCAAGGCUACGAUCAGUAGCUGGUCUGAGAGGAUGACCAGCCACAUUGGGACAGAGACACGGCCCAAACUCCUACGGGAGGCAGCAGUGGGGAAUCUUGCGCAAUGGGCGAAAGCCUGACGCAGCCAUGCCGCGUGGAUGAUGAAGGUCUUAGGAUUGUAAAAUCCUUUCACCGGUGAAGAUAAUGACUGUAGCCGGAGAAGAAGCCCCGGCUAACUUCGUGCCAGCCGCCGCCGUAAAAC